GGCAAGUGCAACUACUAUAAACGUGAGCUUAAAUGUGAAACAAAAAUCAAUGGUACAUCUGCCCUAAAUUCUCAUUUAAAGAUAUGCAAGAAGAAUCCUAAUAGGAACAAAGAUGAUAAGCAGCCUACUUUGCAAGCUACACGAAAUGAAGGGGAUGGUAGCAAGUGUACACUUACUGCUUGGAGGUUUGAUCCUGAAAUGCUUAGGAAAGCUUUUGCUGAAAUGAUUAUUACAGAUGAGCUCCCUUUUGCAUUUUCUGAGAAAGAAGGGUUUAGAAAGUUUAUGUCCAAGGCAUGCCCACGUUUCAAUGUGCCGUCUAGGAGAACAACUACUAGGGAAGUUGUUAGCAUGUUCAAUGUGCAGAAACAGAAGCUGAAAAAAAUCUUUAAGGAAUCAUGCGAAAGAGUAUGCCUCACCACUGACACAUGGACUUCUGCCCAGAAGCAGAACUAUAUGUGUGUUACAGCACAUUUCAUUGAUGGUGACUGGAAGCUACAAAAGAAGAUAAUUGGGUUUUUCUUAGUGAAGGGACAUAGGGGGGAGGACAUUGGGAAGGACUUGGAGAGAUGCUUAGUAGAUUGG
rnacentral:rRNA from 1 species